rnacentral:rRNA from 1 species
AGUUGGGCACUCUAAGGUGACUGCCGGUGACAAACCGGAGGAAGGUGGGGAUGACGUCAAAUCAUCAUGCCCCUUAUGACCUGGGCUACACACGUGCUACAAUGGACAGAACAAAGGGCUGCAAGACCGCAAGGUUUAGCCAAUCCCAUAAAUCUGUUCUCAGUUCGGAUCGCAGUCUGCAACUCGACUGCGUGAAGCUGGAAUCGCUAGUAAUCGCGGAUCAGCAUGCCGCGGUGAAUACGUUCCCGGGCCUUGUACACACCGCCCGUCACACCACGAGAGUUUGCAACACCCGAAGUCGGUGAGGUAACCUUUAUGGAGCCAGCCGCCGAAGGUGGGGCAGAUGAUUGGGGUGAAGUCGUAACAAGGUAGCCGUAUCGGAAGGUGCGGCUGGAUCACCUCCUUU